GAUCAUGGCUCAGGAUGAACGCUAGCUACAGGCUUAACACAUGCAAGUCGAGGGGAAACGACAUCGAAAGCUUGUCUUUUGAUGGGCGUCGACCGGCGCACGGGUGAGUAACGCGUAUCCAACCUGCCCAUCACUUGGGGAUAACCUUGCGAAAGUAAGACUAAUACCCAAUGAUAUCUCUAGAAGACAUCUGAAAGAGAUUAAAGAUUUAUCGGUGAUGGAUGGGGAUGCGU
rnacentral:rRNA from 1 species